rnacentral:misc_RNA from 1 species
AAGUCGUAACAAGGUUUCCGUAGGUGAACCUGCGGAAGGAUCAUUAACACGUAUCCAACGUUAAACCUGUGAACCUGAACGUGCUCCUGCAGCCCCAUGAAAUCAGCAAUCCCUGGUAAAUCAUUGUUGACCAGCUUUUGAGUCAGGGACCUCUGCCGAAACGGCUGUUCAGUACCGAGCGCGGUGUAAGCGACCUGGAAUUUCCAAGCGAUCAGUGUCUGAAAGUGUGGCGCAGUAAACGAUUGCUAGAGGCCCACACGGCCGGCAACCGGGUCCCAGGGCUCACGCCCCUUUAUCACCCCACAGUUUCCGACUGGGCAGCCGAUAAUACGGACGCCGUAAAAAACUGAACAACUGUUAACAAUGGAUAUCUUGGUUCUC